rnacentral:rRNA from 1 species
UACGGGGGGGGCAAGCGUUGUUCGGAAUCAUUGGGCGUAAAGGGCGCGUAGGUGGCCCGGUCAGUCCGUGGUGAAAGCGCGGGGCUCAACCCUGCGUCGGCCAUGGAUACUGCCGCGGCUCGAGCACUGUAGAGGCAGGCGGAAUUCCGGGUGUAGCGGUGGAAUGCGUAGAGAUCCGGAAGAACACCGGUGGCGAAGGCGGCCUGCUGGGCAGUAUGGCUGACACUGAGGCGCGACAGCGUGGGGAGCAAACAGG